GACGAACGCUGGCGGCGUGCCUAAUACAUGCAAGUCGAACGCAGUGGGGACGGGUGAGUAACACGUGGGUAACCUCCCAUGAGAGGGGAUAACACUUGGAAACAGGUGCUAAACCGAUAUUGAAGGAUGGACCCGCGGUGCAUUAGCUAGUUGGUGAGGUAACGGCUCACCAAGGCCACGAUGCAUAGGCGACCCGAGAGGGUGAGCGGCGACGCGGGGAAUGAGACAAGGCCCAGGAGCCUACGGGAGGCAGCAGUAGAGAAUGUUCAGCAAUGGACGAAAGUCUGAACGAGCAAUGCCGCGUGAGGUAAGAAGGAAUUAGGAUCGUAAAACUCUUUUGUUAGAGAAGCGGUAUCUAUCCAGAAAGACACGGCUAACUACGUGCCAGCAGCCGCGGUAAUUC
rnacentral:rRNA from 1 species